UAUUUGUUCUCUCCGAUGCCUGGUUACGUUUUUUACAUCUGACUGCAAUGGUAUUUCACUAUUAACAUCACUACUUAUGUCAUAAGGUUCUAUUACUGUAUUAUCAUGUUUGCUUUCACAAAUAUUGUGAAGCACACAACAAGCCAUCAUAAUUUUCACACAGAUAUUGAUAUUUAAGUUCUCUAAAUGUUGUAGCCUGCGGAACCUCCCCUUCAAAAGUCCAAACACAUGUUCAACAAUAAUGCGUGUCGAUGAAUGUUUAAAAUUAAACACUUUUUGAUUGUUACUUAGGGCACCGUUGUCCUUAAAUGGAGGUACUAACCAACUCAGAGAUGGAUAUGCUGAAUCACCCAAAUACAGUGAGGACCUCCUUAACAACCGAGCAUCAUGCAGAGAUCCCGGCUCUCCACAAUACACGUCAAUAAAUUGCCUGAAGCUAUUGACAGUUCCUUGUAUUAGCAAACUAAAAAUCAGUACUACUUUCACUACUGCUCCCACUAGUUUCUGGACCUUCCAAUAGAUUAAUAAUGACUGGUAAUAAAUCCAUAAUUAACUACAAAACCAAUUUUUAGGUUAGGUGUUUUUUGGUAAACAAAAUGAGUGUUCCAUUCAACUUCAGAAUAGAGUAGUUGGGAGUGGUUCACUUAAAAUCUUAUAGCGUUUUCGGCUGGACGCUCUGGUGCGCACUUUUUACGCCCUCAGAGCGAUUUUUAUGUUCGGCUGGUGUUUUGAGUG